CAAGUGACGGUUUAAGGUUCAUUAACUCCAUGGCGAAAUGAGUUUGCCCUUUUUCAGCUGCAAUGUGUAAUGGCGUCUCACAAAAAGACACAUUAUCAAAAUGUUCCAAAAUAUUUGGAUAUUCUGCUAUCAGCUCGUAGAGUCCCUCAAUAUCCCCAUCUUGAGCCUCCAUAUCGAGUCUCUCAUAGAUGUCAACAAUUUGAAACGCCAUAUCAGUUACUCUGUUCAAACUCCUUUCUGCCUCUGGAGAAUUUCCUUUGGCUCCUGCAACAAAGGCUUAAGUAUAAACUUCAAAGUCUCCGUGUGCAUCAAGUGACGGGAAGGUACUUGGAUGUCAAUCCUCCCCCUCUCCUUGCUCUGUAAAGAGGUGUGGAUUUGCUCAACAUUGGAGAUCUAAACUUGAUUCAAAUCCAGGGUCUCAAAAACAGUGUUCAGACACUCAUCAACACUAUCGAUGCAAGACUUGUCCCUGCAGAUGUUUGAUGUUUCCUUCGGACCUUGUAAUAAAAGAAAAAUGACUUUUUUCUAAGAUCUGUUGAGGUUACUUUUGUAAUGGCUCAUAUAAAUCUUUAUUUAUGUUUUCAAUUGAAUUAUUUUUUCUUGAAUCCAAUAUCACUUCCUUAAUUUUACUAUUAAAUGAAGUAGAGGAACAUGAUAAGUUAGAUGAGCCAAGCACCCACCAAGAGCAUGACUUAUGGCCGGUGAAUAUUGAUGCAUUUGGCUGCCAUGCAGAAAAGAGAUAAUGAGUGGCAUAUAGGGAUGAAGGAUGACUUUAACUCUUUCCCAAAGGUAACGGCAUUCGUGGUUGUCUCACAUGUAUAGAGAACAGUAAGAGUUUAGUUUAGACAACGUUUUUGUUUCGAGAUUUUGUAUGAUAUACUUAAUAACUAAUUCAACAUGCUCGCACGUUGAAAUUUUGUUUCUGCGGAUGUUUUAGAGACUUAAAUUUUCCAUGUUUCAGAGCUUUGAUUGGAAAGUUUCACAAGUUUCUAGAGUUCACAACUAUUCUCGCGUUUUGAUCAGAAACAUUUCAGGAGACUCGAAACUUUCAAAAGCUCAAUGCUCUAAUUGCGCUUUGAUCAGAAACAUUUCAGGAGACUCAGAACUUUCAAAAGCUCAACGCUCUGAUCGCGCUUUAAUCAGAAACAUUUCAGGAUAUUCAGAACUUUCAAAAGCUCAACCCUCUAAGCGGUAAGACAUAAUUGUAUGUGAUUCUGAUGAUCUCUAAUGGUGAUAAGUAGAUUUGGAUGCAUAUGUAUCAUCUGAGAACAUGAUUCAUGAUAAAAUUGUAUCCCCUCUGUCCCAGCGCUUUGAUCAGAAACAUUUUAGUAGCUUCAGAACUUUCAAAAGCUCAACACUCUAAUUGGUAAGACAGAAUUGUGUUACUUUGAUUGAAUUAGAAAGAUUAUUUGAAUUGAAUUUAUAAACAAGUAUGACUUUUCCAACUCAUGGCUUUGAUUGGAAACGUUUUACAAGUUUCCAGAGUUCACAGCUAUUCUCGUUAAGGACCUUUAAGUUUUGUUUUGAGCAAUUUCCGUUGUGAUUCUAUUAUGAGUUUAGGAUAAUUACCAAACUGUUUUGGAUAUAUCCAAAUUUGGUUAGGAUAGUUUCAUGAAUACCUGAAACUGUGAAAUUCUUCAAUGAGUGCUAUUACUCCAACAAGGCAGGUUUGGGAGUAUGGAAUGCCUUUAUAAUAAGUUUAGCCCACGCUCAAGAGCUCACCAUGUUUGAGAAUGUACCUAAACCUUUAACUGUGUUUGAGGAUAUGCCUAGUACGAUGGUGAAGACUCAUGCGAUGUAUUGGAAUGCAAUGGUCGCUUGUUCUCAAGCUGGAGAAACUAGAUAGCUCAAUAUCUUCUUGGUAAAAGUCUUCAAGUUUCUAGCUGUUGAGCCAUCGAUUGAGAUCACAUUAUGCUAUAUAGAUGGUUUGGCAAGAAAUGGGCAGGUUAAAAAGGAUUUUACUGAGGUGAAAUGUAUGAUCUACAAAUCCAACCAGGAGAUCGUUGUGAGCAUCUUUGCCGUUACAGAAUGCACCCAAAUGCACCCAACACCUGUUAUCUUCGCUAAUGAGGUUUUGAGCUAUGUUGAAUCACAUGGAGUUGUUUUCUACAUUGACAAAUCAACAUAUAGGCAACUUGCCGAAGAUGGUGCUACCUUAAAUCUGAAUGCAAGAUUAAUAAGUGAAGGAGUAAAGGAUCGUCAGCCAUAGAGAGUCACAUGCAUUGAAAAAAAAAUUGUGAACAAAUAUUGUCUUUUUUGUUUUUGUGAACAAAAUUGUUUGAUUUUGUUGUUUCCUUUUGAUAUGAUUGUUAUGUUAAAAGUGGGCUCAACCUAA